GACGAACGCUGGCGGCGUGCUUAACACAUGCCAGUCGAACGGAAAGGCCCCUUUGGGGGUACUCGAGUGGCGAACGGGUGAGUAACACGUGAGUAACCUGCCCUUGACUUCGGGAUAACUUCAGGAAACUGGGGCUAAUACCGGAUAGGAAUCCUUGCUGCAUGGUGGGGGUUGGAAAGCUUCGGCGGUUUUGGAUGGACUCGCGGCUUAUCAGCUUGUUGGUGGGGUAGUGGCUUACCAAGGCUUUGACGGGUAGCCGGCCUGAGAGGGCGACCGGCCACAUUGGGACUGAGAUACGGCCCAGACUCCUACGGGAGGCAGCAGUGGGGAAGAUUGCACAAUGGGCGGAAGCCUGAUGCAGCAACGCCGCGUGCGGGAUGACGGCCUUCGGGUUGGAAACCGCUUUCAGCAGGGGCGAAGCUUGUGGUGACGGUACCUGCAGAAGAAGCACCGGCUAACUACGUG
rnacentral:rRNA from 1 species